GACAGAGGGUGCAAACGUUGUUCGGAAUUACUGGGCGUAAAGCGCGUGUAGGCGGUCAUGCAAGUCGGGUGUGAAAGCCCGGGGCUCAACCCCGGAAGUGCAUUCGAUACUGCGUGGCUAGAGUACUGGAGAGGAUGGUGGAACUCUCGGUGUAGAGGUGAAAUUCGUAGAUAUCGAGAAGAACACCGGUGGCGAAGGCGGCUCUCUGGGACGGUACUGACGCUGAGACGCGAAAGCGUGGGGAGCGAACAGG
rnacentral:rRNA from 1 species